AAUCAACGCUGGCGGCGUGCCUAACACAUGCAAGUCGAACGCGAAAGGGGCUUCGGCCCUGAGUAGAGUGGCGAACGGGUGAGUAACACGUGGGUGAUCUACCUCUGAGUGGGGGAUAACGUUCCGAAAGGAGCGCUAAGACCGCAUGACGUUCUGGGUUUGAAGACCUGGCAACCAAAGUCGGGGACCGCAAGGCCUGACGCUUAGAGAGGAGCCCGCGCCUGAUUAGCUAGNGGCGAGGUAAUGGCUCACCAAGGCAACGAUCAGUAGCCGGCCUGAGAGGGCGGACGGCCACACUGGGACUGAGACACGGCCCAGACUCCUACGGGAGGCAGCAGUGGGAAUUGUUCGCAAUGGGCGCAAGCCUGACGACGCAACGCCGCGUGGAGGAUGAAGGUCUUCGGAUUGUAAACUCCUGUUGACCGGGAAGAAGUGGGCGCCGACCGAACACGUUGGCGCAAUGACGGUACCGGUUGAGG
rnacentral:rRNA from 1 species